rnacentral:misc_RNA from 1 species
GUGAAUCAUCGAAUCUUUGAACGCACAUUGCGCCCGCCAGUACUCUGGCGGGCAUGCCUGUCCGAGCGUCAUUUCAACCCUCAGGGCACUCCGGCACUGGUCGGAGGGCGCUGGUGUUGGGGAUCGGCUGCCCCCGCGGCACGCCGGCCCCGAAAUGUAGUGGCGGCCUCGCUGCGGCCUCCCCUGUGCAGUACUGAGCUCGCAGAGGGACAGCGGCGCGGCCACGCCGUAAAACGCCCAACUCAUCAAGGUUGACCUCGGAUCAGGUAGGACUACCCGCUGAACUUAAGCAUAUCAAUAAGCGGAGGA